rnacentral:lncRNA from 1 species
GAGCAUUUGAGGAGCCUGCAGGCAGUGAGGAGAAGACAAGCAAGGACUGGAGAGAAAGGGGAGAUGGAAGACGUGGAGAGAGGAAACUGCAAUGGGGAGCAGCAAGCAUACUUGGAGGAAUGACCUCUUCGUCCCCAAGGACCAGGAUACAGUCACCACAGCUCUCGGUGGACUUGUAGCUUCCAAUAGUAAGCUCAAAGAUUCUUUCAUUUUAUUUAAUAGUUUCAUAAAGAAGCAAUGGGGAUUGCAGUUCUUUGCAAAAGUUGACACCCAGGGCAUGUUUGUGCUAUGUUGGAAACAUCCUUGUUUCAAUUAAACAGAUACAUAGCAUCUUCAUAAUAGCGACCACUAGUUUCCACCUCUUUCUUCAGUGGUAUGCAGCUGUUUUGUUCACAGGGUACUCUAGGUCUCAGCUUCUGGAAGUGAAGUCUCCUUUGUUCUGGACUGGGGAAUAAAGUCUGCCUCAACUUACA